GGGUUGGGGAUUGGCCAUGGGCGCAGCCUGAUGCAGCCAUGCCGCGUGUGUGAAGAAGGCCUUCGGGUUGUAAAGCACUUUCAGCGAGGAGGAAAGCUUAAGCGUUAAUAGCGUUUAGGUGUGACGUUACUCGCAGAAGAAGGACCGGCUAACUUCGUGCCAGCAGCCGCGGUAAUACGAGGGGUCCAAGCGUUAAUCGGAAUUACUGGGCGUAAAGCGUACGCAGGCGGUUUGUUAAGCGAGAUGUGAAAGCCCCGGGCUCAACCUGGGAACUGCAUUUCGAACUGGCAAACUAGAGUCUUGUAGAGGGGGGUAGAAUUUCAGGUGUAGCGGUGAAAUGCGUAGAGAUCUGAAGGAAUACCGGUGGCGAAGGCGGCCCCCUGGACAAAGACUGACGCUCAUGUACGAAAGCGUGGGGAGCAAACAGGAUUAGAUACCCUGGUAGUCCACGCCGUAAACGAUGUCUACUCGGAAUUUGGUGUCUUGAACACUGGGUUCUCAAGCUAACGCAUUAAGUAGACCGCCUGGGGAGUACGGCCGCAAGGUUAAAACUCAAAUGAAUUGACGGGGGCCCGCACAAGCGGUGGAGCAUGUGGUUUAAUUCGAUGCAACGCGAAGAACCUUACCUACUCUUGACAUCCAGAGAAUUCGCUAGAGAUAGCUUAGUGCCUUCGGGAACUCUGAGACAGGUGCUGCAUGGCUGUCGUCAGCUCGUGUUGUGAAAUGUUGGGUUAAGUCCCGCAACGAGCGCAACCCUUAUCCUUAUUUGCCAGCACGUAAUGGUGGGAACUUUAGGGAGACUGCCGGUGAUAAACCGGAGGAAGGUGGGGACGACGUCAGUCAUCAUGGCCCUUACGAGUAGGGCUACACACGUGCUACAAUGGCAAGUACAGAGGGUUGCGAAGCCGCGAGGUGAGCUAAUCUCACAAAGCUUGUCGUAGUCCGGAUUGGAGUCUGCACUCGACUCCAU
rnacentral:rRNA from 1 species